AUGAAAUUGUCGCCGAAAGACGAAAGCAUCGACAAAUUCGUAUUUAUUAGCAACGUGUAUAGCCACUUUGAAGAAAUUCGGUCCCUGAUGUAUACGACUGAACCAUUGGGGAGUACGGAUUCGAACGGGGACAAAUUUAGUGCGACUCAAAUUGGCUUUAUUGUCAUGUCAGCGUUCAUUAUUAUUGAAACAACAAUAAUUGUUUUCAUAAUACACAGACUGCUCAAAAGCAAAAAAAUGGCGAAGAAAUGUUACAUUUGUGAGUUGCUUGAAAUCAAGACCGAACAUACGCAUUUAAAAAAAGUUGCAUCCAAUGAGAAAUUUGGCAAAACAGGGGAAACAAAUGAAGUGUCCAAACCGAUCGAAGAUACUCAUAAUGAGGACAUGGAUUCAGACAAUAACGAAACUACGGAUAGCAGCGAUUGUGAAGUAGAAGUAUAGUAGAAUCAGCCGCCAUACAACAACGUUUCUGAACCUUAAACCACAUUUAGUGAUUUUUACUUUGGAACAGAAUAAUCAACCCAUUUUUGACAGCUUCCGAAUUGAGUACAUAUUGUUUGUUUUUAUAACUGUUGUGAUAUGUGCUUCCUUGAUAGUGAUAAUGUCAAAAUAUA